CAAGUCGAGCGAGAAGGUGUAGCAAUACACUUGUAAAGCGGCGAACGGGUGAGGAAUACAUGGGUAAUCUACCAUCGAGUGGGGAAUAACCAACCGAAAGGUUGGCUAAUACCGCGUACGCCUCCGAGUCUUCGGGUUCGGAGGGAAAGCUGCACUGAGAGUGCAGCGCUCUUUGAUGAGCUCAUGUCCUAUCAGCUUGUUGGUAGGGUAACGGCCUACCAAGGCUUUGACGGGUAGCUGGUCUGAGAGGACGAUCAGCCACACUGGCACUGCGACACGGGCCAGACUCCUACGGGAGGCAGCAGUAAGGAAUAUUGCGCAAUGGGCGAAAGCCUGACGCAGCGACGCCGCGUGGGGGAUGAAGGUCUUCGGAUUGUAAACCCCUUUCGGGAGGGAAGAUGGAGCGAGCAAUCGUUCGGACGGUACCUCCAGAAGCAGCCACGGCCAACUUCGUGCCAGCAGCCGCGGUAAUACGAAGGUGGCAAGCGU
rnacentral:rRNA from 1 species